GCACCAAAGUUAUUGUCUUUAUAUAUUGCCUGAAUGUGGUCACAAAGCCACAUAUUGAGCUGCAGCUUGAACGAGCCUAAUUGUUUCUGUGACAGCUCGCACGCAUACGUUUGACAGCCGUACAACAUGUCAAGCACCAGUAUCAUUCUUUGUUCUGUUUACUGACAUAACAUUUAGGUCGUAAUUUAGAAAGAAAUAAAUAAAGGUGUGCACUAUCUCAGGCCAACCAACGUGCUGGUCACCAAGACCAGCACAUGUAUCAGUGGUUUGUGAGUCGAAUUUUCGUAAUUUUCAAUUUUCGUGAGAUAACUUGUAAACACACUCUAUCUCUAAGAAGCCAGUCUUCAUUUUGGGUGCAAAAGUGAUCCUUUUGUGCAUUCAAGGAAAUCUGGCAUGACACUGUAGUGACGUGGUUGACAGCUUGCUGCCUGAUAAAGCAAAAAAAUGUGGGAUAGACCUGUCACUGUCUCUAAUUUGCAAGUGAUGAUUUCUUUGUGUAAUGCAGGUGUAUGCAGGCUGUGGCUCCUGGAUUAAUGAAAAAGCCUGGGGAUGUUUGUUCAGCGCUUCUACGGACUCUAUGUUCUGUAGAAGUGCUGCUACUGUAUUUUGGACAGCCGAACAACUGAAAACUAGGAGUGUCACCGAAACACUUUCGAACAAGGCACGGCAUCUUGGCUACACUGAGGCAAAGCCAGCGCUGACACCAGAGAAAGUACCUUCUCUAAAGGCAUUGUUCGCCAUCUACAUGGGUGACAUGCCAAAGGAGGUGUCGGACUAGAGAAUGAAGGCGGCUGAGAACACUUGUCGCAGAAGCUCGGCGAUAUGCAGCGGCGGUGAACUCUGCGAAUGCAUGUUGAAAUAAACUAGCUUGAGCCUUCAGGUUC